rnacentral:lncRNA from 1 species
GUUCCAAAUUUACACUCUCGGGGCAUAAUAGAACUAUAUAAUUAGGUUUUACUCUUUGUUCGAUAGAAUGAGAAAAAGUACUCGUUUCAAAGUUAUACUGUUAGGGCGCAACAGAGUAGUCUAAUGUUGUUCUGGUUUUCGUUCUUGUGAACGUUGACAUCGAUUCGUUCCAAAUUUACACUCUAGGGGCAUAAUAGAACUAUAUAAUUAGGUUUUACCCUUUGUUCAAUAGAAUGAGAAAAAGUACUCGUUGCAAAGUUAUACUGUUUGGGCGCAACUGAGUAGUCUAAUUUUGUUCCUGUUUUUGUUUUUGUGAACGUUGACAUCGAUUCGUUCCAAAUUUACACUCUCGGGGCAUAAUAGAACAAUAUAAUUAGGUUUUACUCUUUGUUCGAUAGAAUGAGAAAAAGUACUUGUUGCAAAGUUAUACUGUUAAGGCGCAACUGAGUAGUCUAAUGUUGUUCCGAUUUUGGUUCUUGUGAAUGUUGACAUUGAUUCGUUCAAAAUUUACACUCUCGAGGUAUAAUAAAAUAAUAUAAUUAGGUUUUACUCUUUAUUCGAUAGAAUGAGAAAAAGUACUCGUCGCAAAGUUAUACUGUUAGGGGGCAACUGAGUAGUCUACUGUUGUUCCGAUUUUGGUUCUUGUGAACGUUGACAUCGAUUCGUUCCAAAUUUACACUCUCGAGGUAUAAUAGACCAAUAUAAUUAGGUUUUCUCUUUGUUCGAUAGAAUGAGAAAAAGUACUCGUUGCAAAGUUAUAUUGUUAGGGCGCAACUGAGUAGUCUAAUAUUGUUCCGAUUUUGGGGACCGUCCUCUGGCAAGGACCGGUUCCGAACGUUGAAUAUCCCCUUUGCCAGUUUGUGCAGCUUUACGUGGACGGCUCAAAGGGGUCGCUCGCCCGACAAAGGUGACCACCGGUUGGUCCCUCACUGCGAAAAAUACCCAGGGAGGCUGUUUCAAGAAGUGAAAAGUGAGGGUUUUAUGUUGCAUCAAGUGGGUUAUGAGAAGAGGCUAGGCUUGUCCGCCUCUCAUCGCAUCACUUACACUUCAGUGGAUGCCCUUCUUCACGUCGUGAUGUCGUAGUCCUCCAUACUCACGACCUCUGAUGUCUACUCAUCUUCUGGCUCUCUGAAAGGUUAUAACAAAAAAGCAUCAUAUCGGAGGAAAAGAGGAGAAGUAGCAGAAGGCUAGUAGAAUGAUAGAAGGAGACGAGAUAGAGACUGAAAAAGAGCGAGAAAGAGAGGUAUUGACAACUAAGACAGGAAUGAGAAGCAUAUCACGCGAGUUACACUAUUCAUCAUCUCCUCUUGCCCAAAGCUUGGAGCUUGGUAAUGAUGUAAACCUCAACCUUUGAUGUGGUUUCAAUAGGCAGAGGUAGAAGUUUUAUAAUACGAAUAAGCGCGGUUCAAGACUGAACCUUAUUGAGCUGCAUAACUGCCAGGUCGAGAUAUGUUUCGACUCGAAAUCGAAGCUCGCAGCCGGCAGAGUAGUCGUAUCUCAUCAAUGGCCGCAUGAUGCGUGCAUUGUGCUUUUCGAUAGUCUUUCGAGAAUAGGUUGGCCAGAGCAUACUUGAACUGGGCUAUUUAAUUCAAAUUAAUUUCGGCACACCUAAAUUCUAAGGUCCCGAAGUCGUAGGCACAGACGGUGUGUCGCAUUACCGUCGAGUAGCAGUCGAAGUUAUCGCCAAGAGAGACCUUCGGAGCUUCGUGUCCAUGCCUAGAAGGCUAACGGCGUCGAGACGGUUCUAAGGCACGACACAUCGCAAUCGAAGAGCUUCCACAGAAGUCCACCCACCGAGGGGUGGAGCAUCACAGUAAAACCCACCAAAAGUCCUCACCAGGGCGAGAGUGGCGCUACACGAGCUAACCAGAAGGGUGCGGGCGAUCAACAUGGUCGGACUUCACUUUCAUGCUUUAGAUGUCUGAUGUCAUCAUCGAAAGACUUAACUAGUACGAGUUUAUUACAUAUUGUGAUAUAGUCAAUUACUUGACGGAAUUGUCUUAACCAUGGAUUAUCGCUGCAUAUCCUUGCAUGCUAAGGAUGGUAUAGCUCUGCGUUUGUUCAUCAUCGUCAAGACUGAUUUAGUAAAACAUGCAGAGGUGAGCGAUCGUUUGAGAACAGACACCCAAUGAAAAGUCGCCCUAGUCAACUAACGAUAAGAAUUAUUGUUUCAGUAGAUGAUAUAUGAACCUAGUGAUACCUUGGAACACAGUUGUAUUCAAGAACUCUGUCAAGAGAACGAGUGGCCAUCUAGUUAACCUAAACAUGAACGAGUGCAUUAAGUAGCCGGUAGGCAGCGCAAAACCUAAGAAAACUGCCUGCAGCUUGUCGAGAGACUACAUCAGUAUCAGAUAGUGAUGGAUCAGCGCCACCAAUCAAGUUGCUACUACACCGAGGCUAACCUCUCGGUGCCACGAAAUUCCGCCGAGUAUAGAUAUGCCCCCUGUUGAUCAGGGCGAUAUUACGAGAUUAUCAUGACAGAGAUUGAAUCGAGCUCACUUAGCUGCUGUCUUACACCUGUAGGACAGUAAGAAUCCUCGCACCUUCCUUACGAUGCUUUAAGUCGUUACACAACUCCCGGAGUGCUUCUUCGGCGAAGAUAUCUCGCAAGAUACUGGCGGGCCAGUGUAUGCCCUGGAGCCAGUGUAGUGUCCGCUCUCGGAAGAUAGGAUCCGGUCUCCGGGUAAGUGAUAUAGCUAGCCCACUCAUCCCCUAUGCAAGCAUCUUAGACGACGUAGAGGUACACGUAUCAGAUGUCACAAUGAAAACCCGACGGCGAGCGAAACUUGCGUUCGCCGAGAGAUACGAAACUAGAUAUUCCACAGAAUAUAGCCCGAAGAUCCUGUUCAAUCAUGUCCAUGAUGCUGACUCACACUUAGCAUUGUGUUUGAUGGAAGCAUGUAGUCCCGAAAGGCAUCACCGAGACAGCCUAGCAUUCUUACUAUGAGUUGUGCGAAGACAUUCGUAGUGGCAUCCUGAAUUAUGAGGCAUUGUAGUACCUGUGGCGAAUCUAGUUUCUAUGGACCAUCAAUUCACUCUCAGCCCGGAUCUUAAGCUGAAUGGUACCGCUUUCAGUUAAUAUAAUCUAUCUAUCUGCAUAUCUAUCUGUAGCGCGGGGCUAAGACGCUAGUGGGAGGAUCCGAUGCAAUGAGAUCUUCGGAGCAGAUACACGCCAGAACCCACUGGGAAACUAUUCGUAGUUCUCACUCGCACAGAGUACUAUCGCUGCACUGAGGCUGGCUUCCAAAGAAAGGAGACCGUGUUCAAUCUGGGCAGGGGAUACCCCUGUUUCUUACACUGUGACUUUGUUGAGGCGGCUCGAAUCGCCGGAAGGCGUAAGCGCCCUACGGGUUGACAGUGGUAAUCCAGACGAAGAGGGUUUUUCACUUAUUUAAAUAUCAAAUUUUUUCUUGACUUAGCGCCUUAUUUAGAAGACAGGGCAGCACCUCUAGUCGUCUAGGGAGAUCACACCUGGCUCUAUGACCUCCUUUAUCACCCUACCUCAGCUGGCGCCUUCCCUUUACUUCAGCUCCCAGGCAAAGCAAUAUAAGAUUAGUCAUAGCCAUCGAGGAUCGAUGGUGGUUGCCAGACACAGUGAUCUCAUACUGCGGUCAGCACGAGGUCAUCCUGUUAUCUGGUAGUCUAGAGAGUUGUAGGUACGAAUUCACAGACUACAUGGUCAUAUCCAAUGAGUGGUCGCAUUCUUAAUCUUAUGUCUAAUAUACACGGCCGGGCAUUCAACAUUAUUGCCCUAGUAAAGAGAUAUCGCAGCGAAAUAGAGGCUCUAACAUGCUCGGUUAAUAAAUAUAUUAUAAGAAGUUAGCUCGGCAAAAUAGGAUCACCCAUCCUCCGCUCGCAUCGAUAGUAAUGUUGCCUAGUGAAAAACAGUCCAUUAGGUUCGAAUUUUAUUACUACUCAGAUCAGGCUAGAAAAACCCGAUCAUCGUUGUACCAAGAAGUAAAGCGGCGGUGAGUACCAUACGAGCAUAAGUGUAUGCUCAGCUGACAGGCGAGUAAGCAUCAUCCUGCUAGAGGUCGUCUCGAUCUCGAAGUGUACACAUCGAGUGUUUUGCGAGGAAAGACCAAGCUCACAUGCAAAUGAAUGCGAAAUAAAGAGUGGCGAUGCUCUUCACGUACUCGAAAAUGAGCAAUUCUAGCAUCAGAUGAAAUGUUGAAGGUAUGGACAAUACCUCGCAAGACAGUCGCCCACACCAGUGCCCUGCGUGCUGAGUCAGGGCGAAGACCUCUCUGCGCAUCUCCAGAUGCGCUGCCGUGCCCCUCAGUUUGCGCCUCCGUCCCGCGUAAUUGUGGUUGUUAAUUGUUAUGUACCCAGUUCAACGUUGUUCCUUGGAACCUUGUUGCUCACUAAUCUAUGGUUGAGCCUUGGCGACAGAGGAGGCUGUCCGUUCGGCGUCGGUCCGCCCUUCGAGUAGGGGGACCCCGGAGCCACGAAGCAGCUGCAGCUGGGGCUCCGCGGCUUCUGCGGGCGUGCAGGCAUGGGAGGAGACAGGGACUCCCCCUGAGACAUCCGCCACCUCCUAGGACACUGGCUUGCAGGGGAGCCACCUCGCACUGGCCACGAACGGAAACAGUGUCCUCCUCUGCGACCAUUCGCCAUCAACCGCUGAGCUUUGCCGGCAGAUGCACACAACGGUGGAUCGCCCCUCUGCUGAUUGCUCGAGGGCGCACUCUUUGCUCCCUGCUAGAGUGCGCGGAUGCUUUGGCGACCGGUUACUAUUGGAAAGGAGCCGCCGCACGUCUUAGAAUGGGAACGCUUUCUGUUCCCCAUCGCCUCCGAGGCCCUUUGCAGCUCGGACUCUCGUAGACUCGCUCUGGAUGACGAGGCUAUCGUCGCAAGCACUCCGUCAAAACACGUCAUCGUGCCAUGAGAAGCCCAGCAGCAUCCUGAUGUGGGUCUCGAAGCCCUCGCGAAGACUCUCGCCUUGUGCGCUCGUCAAAGUAGGCUCGAAUAGAGAGCAAGGGAUCAGCCUCCACCAUGGCGGAAGACGAAGUCCUGCUCGUAGCUUCAGCUACGGUACGUUCCCACUGCUGAAGAUGUUCUAAAGCUCCGCGCUCCGGCCCAGCCUCCAAAUUUUUGAGUUGUCCCGAAAGAAUUGCUUGGAUUGGAGAUCUCCGGAACUCCCCCCAGGGUUGGGAAAGGACGGCCCAGCUGUGAGCGAGGUAGAUGUCGGCAGCCACCAAAUAGAGCUGCGUCCGCCGGUCCGAGAAAGUGUGCGGCCAAGGACGCGGUACCUGGCUCAUCCGAUGAGUAUAAGUCGCUCUAAAGCUAGGUACUCUCACAAUGUCGGUCAGGUUCGAUGAGCAGGUCGCGUCGAUAGAAACUCCUAGUUCUCUUCCUUCUUACGCUCCACGCGUAUUCUUGCGGGUCGAAUUCCCAUGAACUCAUCCAGCUUCGCACAUGCAUAGCGGGCGCCUCUGCUGCGGGGUAAUUUGCAUCCUCAGCUGGAACCUCUGGUGGUCGUCCGUCGUCGUCGAGCUCAGCAAGCAGAUAAAGAUGGAACGGAGCCGAGGGCCGAGCUACCUAGUGCAGGCGCACCUGAGGAGGUGGUGGACUUCCUACGGAGACUCUAAGAGCAGGCAUGACCCAUUCCAGAACCGGCGGCGUCGGGGAAGGUAGUCGCUUAUAUGGGAACACAGCUCUAGGCGGUGUGCGGCUCGUAAGGACUAGCUGGCAUGAGUGCUGCGUCGGAAACCGCCGCCAUGUGGAAAGGAGUCGUCAUCCUGAAUCCCGUCCCGUCAUCACUGGAGGCUUUAGACCUCGAGUGGUGAGGCUCGAGCUGCUUCGAUAGCAGUGAGUAUCCGCCCUGCUGGAUGUGGAAUGUUUUUUUUUACUUUUCUGGUCGAUCUGCUCACCCUACUCCUGCCCUGCCCCACCUGCCUCUGCCGUUGCUCGGAGGCCUGCUCUUUUCCUAGGAGGCUAAUUGACUAAGAGCCCUCAUGGGCGACGGCGUCCAGAAAGUUUGAUGGAACUAGCUCCCACGAACUCACGGAAGAAGGUGGGUCCGCUACUCCACGAGCCAAUCUGUAACACAAAGCACGCGUCAGCACGAAUAAUCGAGACUCGACCAACUCCGCCUACGGACUUGAGGCCCACAGAAACUUGCACUCACGUGCGCUAUGAGUAUUUCGCCCGUAGUCCUGCCUAUGGGUCAACCUAACCAAUGGUUCAUUUCAUUGAUUUUUCGAAAACCAACCUGUGAAUGGUAGUCUCCCCCUGUAUUUUGAGCACGGUCGUCGUAGCACAAGUACAGAGGAGAUCUGUCCCGUCGUGAAGUGGAUUCCCUGUAAUUGUGCGAUCUGACAUACUCUGGGGUCAGGUAUUUGAGAAAAACAAAAACAAAUUAUUAGUCAUUUCGCGUCAUUUCCAAACGCGCAACAAGGACCUCAGGGGUGACAGAUUAAAGUGGUAUCAGAGCCGGUUCAUCAGCUGGACAUGUGUGGCGAGUCUCGCUAUGAGCCACGGGUCGGAUGACGGGCUAACGAGCGACGUCUUACAUCGCGCUGGUGAUCUUGGGCUGUGUGUGUUGUGGACUCGACAGACGUCAGGACUGCAGCUUAAACGGGGAGUCCUGGUGACACCGCCAUAUCAACAUCGAUGAAAUGGAAGGUGUUGUUUAUUCAGGAGUUGAUAAGCACGACUUAGACACUAGCUAAAUAAUAACUGGCUUAGAGCAUUUGGGGUCUGUGUUGGUAUCAUGGGCCAACGAGUUACUCUUAAUUAAGCUUAGUGAAGCUUGGGCCUGGUCGUUACAUUGGUAAUCAGUCAAGUCGAAUUCUUUCAGCUCAUCGAAGCUACUGCUAGACACCGUCGAUUUGUUCAUGAAGUUAUUGUCGUUUCGAACUGCGAAUGAUGACCUGUCGUUCGGAUUCAGUAAUACCGAUUUUGCUGGGAGUCCACCGGGUUAUACCCAAAGCUCUCCGAGCUUUGCCUCAAUGUAAAGCUUGUGAAGCGGUGUGCGAUUUUGGAGAAGGCUGCAACGAAUCGCAAGAUAAUACCUGCACUGCGCCAAACCCUAGAAAAACUCCGGACUUGGUCACCGAAAGUUUUGGUUCAAGACCAGCUACACCACGCGAGGCUAUCUUCUUCGGGUCCGACCGAAUCCACGCCGGAGUAGAAUAUGCCGUCUCUCAAGAAUGACCACGUAGCGACGUCACGGAGCAGAAAUCCACUUCUUGAGCUUAGCGUUACAACUGUGCCGCCGCUGAAGUAUCUGGCAAUUAGCUCUGUCGCGAGAUGAUCCUCAGGUGCUCCCUACAAUACUCCGCGAGUAGAUCAGGAGUCAUCAUGAAACCGACGACAGACACUGAUCCAGAUAAGCUCGGAAGCCCUGUCAUUCAUGUCGCAUAGAAGGCUGCGCGGAGGAUUGGUGAGCCCGAAAGGCACACCGUGAACUCGUAGUGGCCGUAACGAGUCCGGAAAGGCGGUCUUUCGGCACAUCCUCAGCCCGGAUCUUUAAGCUGAUGUAGCCUCCCGACCGCAAGAUCAUCCUUGGAGUUAGCACCGACGAUCCUUUGACAAGGCUGGUCAUGGUACGAAGCCUGAACUUUCCAGUACGCGCUUUCUCAUCUUUAGAGUGACGGUCAGGUCCAGAGCGACGUGCAUCCAGACUUCUUGUACGACAUGCUCUGGCGCAGAUCGCGUCUGGAUUACGGUGGAUCGGAUGGUCUCGGUAUUACCGUUGGUGGAGUUUCGCGACUAUAAUAAACAGCUUUCAGGGUCGACAUCGGGAUGGCACCAUACCGAGGCGUCUGUUAUGGGCGUUCGAUGUCGUUCUCAGCUAUCUGCUUGGCACGCAUGUCGAAGACCGCCGGUUAGUUAGGACUACUAGAUUUAGUAGGAGACGCCACAUGAGGCAAGAUCCGCAUUGGGCGAGAGAGCGGCUUCAGACCUGCAACAGAUAGAAUCCAAGGGGCGACUAGCGCGGCCCAGGCGGAGGCCGGAACCUAGAGUUUCAGUCGUGAGUCAUGUGCUGCUCAAGUGUCGCCUUCCAGGAUCAAUACGGUUUGUUUGCGGAACAAGCUUAUCGCGCUGGUUUCGGUGGGACCCGUUCUGAGAUCCUACGAGCUGCGUUGGUCCGGUGGGCUUACCAGAUUGCUCUCAUACCGCAGUCUCGCCCGAGUGCAGCAACGUUUUUUCACGUGUCCCAUGCUUCGGAUACCACAUCCCGAUCCGUCCCCACAUCAUUCAGUCGACACGCAUUCAGCUAUGCGGGAGGAUCUCGAGCUAUGCAGUGAGGCUCCCGUUGCACGAUCCUGGUCACGUGAGGUGAACGCAGUUGCCGGAAUAGGAGCAUAUCCGUAUUCAAGGUCCAGUGGAGGAGAAGCGCGACGAGAGGGCUGCGCCUGAGGCUACUGGGAGCUUGAAUGCGUCAUGGCGGUCGAUCAUUAUCCACAGUUAUUUUGCGAGGGACGUCCUUGUNNNNNNNNNNNNNNNNNNNNNNNNNACUAAUUAUAUAGUUCUAUUAUGCCGCCGGCGCAAUUGUUAUAUAUUUGGAACGAUCUUAAAUUUACAAGAACCAAAUCGGAACAACAAUUAGACUACUAAGUUGCGCACCUAACAUAUUAACUUUUGCAACGAGCACUUAUUUCUCAUUCUACAAACAAAGAGUAAAACCAUUAUAUUGCUUAUUAUGCCUCGAGACAGUGUAAAUUUGGAACGAAUCAGAAACUUGUCAACGUUCACAAGACAACAAACAUGGACGAAAAUUAGCACUACUCAGUUUGCGCGCAACAGUAUAACUUUUGAACGAGUAUUUUUCUUCAUUGAUCAAUAGAACAAAGAGUUAAAACCUAAGUAUAUUAUUUUUUAUACCUCCAUUCGUGCUAAAUCGUAGAACGAGGUCAAUGUCAACGUUCACAAGACCAAAAUCGGAACACAUAGACUACUCAGUUGGCACCAACAGAUAUGAACUUAUGCACACGAAUACUUUUUUCUAAUUCUAUCAACAAAGAAGUAAACCCCAUAUUAUAUUGUAUCUUAUGCCCCAGAGUGUAAAUUUGGAACGUAACCAGAUGGCAAGGUUCACGUAAGAACAAAAAACAGGAACAAAAUUAGAUACUAGUUGCGGCCAAAAAGUCUAACUUUGCAACGAGUAUUUUUUCUCAUUUCUAUUAUCAGAAAGAGGUAAAACCUAAUUAUAUAGUUCUAAUUUGCCUGGAGUGUAAACUUGGAACGAAUCAGAUUCGUCAACGUGAUUAAGAAGAAAAACCAGAAAACACAUUACACUACUCUGGUUUGCAGCACUAACAGUAUAACUGCGACGUAGUACUUUUGUCUCUUUCUAUCGAACAAAAAGUGAAACCUAAUUAUCAUUCUAUUAUGCCCGGGCGAGUGUAAAUUGUGGAAGAUCUUCAACGUUCACAAAAGAACCAAAUCGGAACAACAUGAGCACUACUCAUUGCGACCUAACGUUAUAACUUUGCAACGAGUACUUUUCUGAUUUCUAUCAACAAAGAGAUAAAACCUUUAAUUAUAUCGAUAUCUAUAGUCUCGAGAGUGUAAAUUGGACGAUAUCAGAGUCAAGUUCAGAAAGAAUCAAAGAUUCGGCGAAGAACAUUAGAUACUCAGUUUUGGCCCUAACAGUUAUACUUAAUGCAACGAUCUUUUUCUACGUUCUAUCAAACAAAGAGUAAAAUACUAAUUAUAUUAUUUAUUAUACGCUCGAGAGUGUGAAUUUGGACGAAGGUCAUAUCAACGUUCACAAGAACCAGCCGGGAGACCGGUCCUUGUCCGAGAGACCGGUUCCCGAGAGCAAUACUUUCGGGACUUAGCCAAAUUUCGGCUUCUCUCGCUGGGCCAACGUUCGGGAACCGGUCCCUGCCUGCUAGGGACAGGUCUCAUCAGAGACCCCCGCAGCCCAGCCUGAUGGGACCGGUCCCUCCCUGCCAGGGACCGGUCCCCGAGAGCAUUUCUUCUCCAGUGCAGCUUUUGCACGGGUGCUCUCGCGGACACCUCCUCAAUGCACCUUAUGCAUUGUGAUCACCUUCGGACUUUCCGAAGCUUGCACGCACGACAACCAGUCGAUCUUUGACGAAGUCUAAUCCUCGAGUUUCGAGAAUUCACUUCCCUUACACUCUCCCCACUUAAAAGAGUUUCGUCCUCGAAACGAACUCAACAAUAUUAAAUUCAUCCAGAAUACUCAUACCUCGGUGGCUCACUCAAACAAGUGAGGAUGAUUCGCUCUCAUCUCCUCCUCGAGCUCCCAGGUGGCUUCGCGGUCAGCAUGAUUGCUCCACUCUCAGGGCAUAAUAGAAUAAUAUAAUUAGGUUUUACUCUUUGUUCGAUAGAAUGAGAAAAAGUACUCGUUGCAAAGUUAUACUGUUUGGGCGCAACAGAGUAGUCUAUUGUUGUUCCGGUUUUCGUUAUUGUGAACGUCGACAUCGAUUCGUUCCAAAUUUACACUCUCGGAGUAUAAUAGAACUAUAUAAUUUGGUUUUACUCUUUAUUCAAUAGAAUGAGAAAAAGUACUCGUUGCAAAGUUAUACUGUUUGGGCGCAACUCAGUGGUCUAAUUUUGUUCCGGUUUUUGUUCUUGUGAACGUUGACAUCGAUUCGUUCCAAAUUUAUACUCUCGGGGCAUAAUAGCACAAUAUAAUUAGGUUUUACUCUUUGUUCGAUAGAAUGAGAAAAAGUACUCGUUGCAAAGUUAUACUGUUAGGGUGCUACUGAAUAGUUGAAUGUUGUUCCAAUUUUGAUUCAUGUGAACGUUGACAUCGAUUCGUUCCAAAUUUACACUCUCGGGGCAUAAUAAAAUAAUAUAAUUAGGGUUUACUCUUUGCCCGAUAGAAUGAGAAAAAGUACUCGUUGCAAAGUUAUACUGUUAGUGUGCAACUGAGUAGUCUAAUAUUGUUCCGGUUUUUGUUCUUCAGAUCGUUGACAACGAUUCGUUCCAAAUUUACACUCUCAGGGCAUAAUAGAACAAUAUAAUUAGGUUUUACUCUUUGUUCGAUAGAAUGAGAAAAAGUACUCGUUGCAAAGUUAAACUGUUUUGGGCGCAACUGAGUAGUCUAAUUGUUCCGUUUUUGUUCUUGUGAACUUGACAUCGAUUCGUUCCAAAUUUACACUCUCGGGGCAUAAUAGAGAAUAUAAUUAUGUUUUACUCUUUGUUCGAUAGAAAUGAGAAAAAGUACUCGUUGCAAGUUAUACUGUUAGGCGCAACCUGAGUUGUCUAAUGUUGUUCCGGUUCUUGGUUCUUGUGAUACGUUGAAAUCGAUUCGUCAAAUUUAUUACACUCUUCGGGGGGCAUAAUAGAAGCUAUAUAAAUUAUGGUUUUAAGCUCUUAAUUCGAUUUUUAGAAAAGAGAAAAAAGUACUACGUUGCAAAGUUAUAGCCUGUUAGCACGCCAACAGAGUAGUCUUAAUUUGUUCCGGUUCACAAAGAACGAAAACCGGAAACGAACAUUAGACUAUCGGUUUUCGUUCUGUGAACGUUGACAUCGAUCGUUCCAAAAUUUACACGCCUUUGGGGCCAUUAAAUAGAACAUGAUAAUAUGUUUUAUCCUUUGUUUCGAUGCGUAGAAUGAGAAAACGUACUCUGUUUCACAAAGUUAUAGCUGUUUGGGGCCGCCCCCCCAACUGAGUAGUACUAAUUUUGGUUACCCGGAUUUUGUUCUUAUAGUGAACUGUUGACAUAACGAUUCGUUUCCGUCCUUAUAACUAUUGAAUUUAAGAGGAUUUAGACUCCCUUUUCGCUCAUGAGGGACCAANNNNNNNNNNNNNNNNNNNNNNNNNNNNNNNNNNNNNNNNNNNNNNNNNNNNNNNNNNNNNNNNNNNNNNNNNNNNNNNNNNNNNNNNNNNNNNNNNNNNNNNNNNNNNNNNNNNNNNNNNNNNNNNNNNNNNNNNNNNNNNNNNNNNNNNNNNNNNNNNNNNNNNNNNNNNNNNNNNNNNNNNNNNNNNNNNNNNNNNNNNNNNNNNNNNNNNNNNNNNNNNNNNNNNNNNNNNNNNNNNNNNNNNNNNNNNNNNNNNNNNNNNNNNNNNNNNNNNNNNNNNAAAUUUACACUCUCGGGGCAUAAUAAAAUAAUAUAAUUAGGUUUUACUCUUUGUUCGGUAGAAUGAGAAAACGUACUCGUUGCAAAGUUAUACUGUUAGGGCGCAACUGAUUAGUCUAAUGUUGUUCCGUUUUUCGUUCUUAUGAACGUUGACAUCGAUUCGUUCCAAAUUUACACACUCGGGGCAUAAUAGAGCAAUAUAAUUAGGUUUUACUCUUCGUUCGAUAGAUUCAGAAAAAGUACUCGUUGCAAAGUUAUACUGUUAGGGCGCAACUGAGUAGUCUAAUGUUGUUCCGGUUUUUGUUCUUCUGAACGUUGACAUCGAUUUGUUCCAAAUUUACACUCUCGAGGCAUAAUAGAACAAUAUAAUUAGGUUUUACUCUUUGUUCGAUAGAAUAAGAAAAAGUACUCGUUGCAACCUUAUACUGUUUGGGCGCAACUGAGUAGUCUAAUUGUCACGCCCCGCGACCAACCGCCGAUUUGGACCGGGUCGCGGCGCCGCCGACAGACCGCCGAACGGACCGGGAAUUCCCCUGUAUGCGGACAGGGUCUCCCCAGUACGUCCAAGGCGUCGCAAUCCAAACAAUCAACGAAUAUUCCAACAAGA